GAAAAAUAUUGUCGAAAUGAAUAAUCUUGUAGAUAUUGAAAAUUCAGAAUUUUAAAAUACUUUACUUUCAAUAAAAAUUAUGAAAAUUGGAAUUUUAACUACUGCAGAACGCUGACAAAAACUGCUGCUCACUACAAACCUAUAGUUUGUAUAUCCUUUAUACUUCUUCGUAGACUACUUCUCCUUUAUACUUCUCGGCGCAAAUGUUAUUUUUUCAUUUAUUUUUAAAAACUAAAGUUGGCCAGAUAAAAUUAGUGUGAUUUUAGUAAACUUCAAAGAAAAGACCAACGGUUAGAACAUACCUUCUGUACUAUACAGUAAAAAAUGACCUUGCAUAUUCAAGCAGCCUUCUAUGCUGUCCUUUCCAUCUAACUUUGUCAACAGAAAAUUAUCUAAUUUGUUCCACCCAACCUUGCCAAUCUAGCCAAUCUUGGAACCAGCUUUAAGUUAAUAAUUGCAUUUGAAAGUUUUUUUGCAUCUUCAACCUACUUGUAUAAUCUCUCCUCCCUCUCUUUAACUUUGACACAUGUCAACCAUUUAAUUGUGAAGUGCUUACAUUCAGGAAGUGACAAAAUGUCAAUGGGCAUUUAAGAGCUUCGUUUAGUGUACUUGAAUAUGCAGAAAUGUACAACAACAUGUAGUUUUGUAGCUACAGACAUAACUAUUUACAACAAAAGUGAAAUAAUGUUAACUUUUCGGCAUACGCUAAACUGUCACUCAAGUGUCUUUCUUUUUGCCCACGCAUGAACUUCGAACGCCUCAAGUGGAGCUACAGCGGCACAGUGUCAAGGCAUUACCCGUUACUACAGAGCUGCGGGCUUAAGCACACCGACACAGUCACGGUCACGCUUAUGAAUUAUCUUUUUUAUUUGUUUUCUUCUUAUUUGUUUGUUUAUCUUUCGGACAUCACAGGCAUUGAAAGGAGCGGUAAGCCUUAUUUACGGAUGGAUCAAAGCUUGUGGAAAUGGUUGGUGGAGAAGUAUACUGUGCGAAUCCACUCAAGCUUCAGGCUUCCCGAUAUUUCCAUGCGGAAGUGGCUGAAAUUAAGGUAGCAGUAGAUAUACUGCUCCGAAGUGCAGCCUUCAGAGUGGUGACCAUCCACUCUGGUCGCUGGAUACUGGAUAUUAGCCGUGAACUCGCUGACCGUACGCUUGAAACUAGUGAAGGAUGUAAGAAGUAAAGAUUCUUAUCUCUGGUAUCGAAUUACUUUAUAAUUAAAAUGGUUUGAAUAACUGGCCAUAGCGGAAUCGUAGGAAACUGUAAGUAAGCUGUAGAGCUUCCUAGAUCAAGUUCUUCUAUUCACAAGUCGUAAAAUGGUUGUUUCGUAAACUGGACUGGAUUAAGACCGUAGAACUGUUGUAAAUGCGAUUCAAGUUUCAUGAAAAUUAUUAAAUGGGUCAUGUAAUUUUGUAGCUGCAACUGCAACUAAAUAGUGUGGCUAAGCGCAGAGAAGAGCGGUGCGAUGUGAAGCUGAUUUCGAACAGCCACAGCGAAACUAUAACGAAUCGAACUAAUCACUAACAAAUUGAUUGAAGUUUUUAUGAGUGAAAAGUAAUUUGGAAAAUCUGCAUGUAGGCACGUUAAAAUUUGUGUAGGCUCUUCAGCACUUAUAAAUGAAGGCAGUAGCAUGCUGGAUAAAUGUAUAUAAGCAUGAAUUAUGAGAAAUUUAUUGGCUGUCUAACGUUGCUACUUGAAAAUAAAAGUUAAGAAGCGGUGGUACUUACCAGCUUUAAGACGGUAAAAAGCUCAAAAAAUGCUUAACGGCUGAAUGUGUUUUAUGGCAUGCCAUGAAAUAAUUUGAUUUAUUGUAACGUUCAAGAGGUGUUUGGCGCUGCGUUGAUGGUUGACUGGAAAAAAAACUGGUUUAAAUUUGUUGCAUCUACAUAAAGGUAGUAAGAUUUUCGGGAAGAAAAUUUGGAUUUAAUAAUGAAGUGUUUUGUUAGACAAAUUAUAGUAUCUUUAAGAUGGGCUAUUGUUUAUGAUUUAUAAAAGGGUUGCAAGUUUUUUGUAAGAAUUUUUUGUAAAAAAAAAAAAAAUAUUGUGUUUUAACUGUUAUAAACUAAAGUUCUGAUAAAAUUAAAAUAAAUAAAAUACAAUAAUAAAUAAAUAAAUAAAUAAAAUUAUUUAAAAAAAAAUACAAAAAAAA